rnacentral:misc_RNA from 1 species
UUAACUUAUUAAAAAUACGCUCAGAUUUCCCACUAGAAUCAAGAAUUUGGUUUGGUCCACCGGCGGGCUCCCGGGAAGGCUCCGAGGUUUGCACGCUCAGACGGCUCCGGGGUUUCCACCCCGUGCCUACCCCUCCCGGUGGCUCGCGCCGAGGCAACAUGAUAAAUACACAAUGGUUUUGGGAGUUUUUCAACUCUGUAAUGAUCCCUCCGCUGGUUCACCAACGGAGA